rnacentral:misc_RNA from 1 species
GAUGAAGAACGUAGCAAAAUGCGAUAAGUAAUGUGAAUUGCAGAAUUCAGUGAAUCAUCGAGUCUUUGAACGCACAUUGCGCCCGCCAGUAUUCUGGCGGGCAUGCCUGUUCGAGCGUCAUUUCAACCCUCAAGCACAGCUUGGUGUUGGGACUCGCGUUAAUUCGCGUUCCUCAAAUUGAUUGGCGGUCACGUCGAGCUUCCAUAGCGUAGUAGUAAAACCCUCGUUACUGGUAAUCGUCGCGGCCACGCCGUUAAACCCCAACUUCUGAAUGUUGACCUCGGAUCAGGUAGGAAUACCCGCUGAACUUAAGCAUAUCAAUAAGCGGAGGA